GACGUAGGUGGCGAACGUUAUCCGGAAUUAUUGGGCGUAAAGGGUGCGUAGGUGGCCUGACAAGUUAUUAGUGGUAAAUCGAGGCUCAACCUCGUGGAAACUGGUAAUACUGUCCGGCUCGAGUACAGGAGAGGUUAACGGAACUCUAUGUGGAGCGGUAAAAUGCACAGAUAUAUAGAAGAACAUCAAUAACGGCGAAGGCAGUUAACUAUUCGUGUUACUGACACUGAGGCACGAAAGCGUGGGAGCAAACGG
rnacentral:rRNA from 1 species